rnacentral:lncRNA from 1 species
CUGCCGCAAGGAAAACUCCGCCCGGACUCCUACGGGAGUCGAGCUCCGUCCAUAACUUCUGCUGCAAGGAAGACUCCGCCCGGACUCCUACGAGAGCCGGGCUCGUCACCAACUCCGACCGCUGGUAAGUUCUGUCCGGACUCCUACGGGAGCCAGACUUAGCCCCGACUUUGAUUAUAGGUGAACUAUGUCCGGACUCCUACGGGAGCCGGGCCUCGUCCCCGACUCCGGUUGCAGACAAACUCCGCCCGGACUCCUACGGGAGCCGGGCCCCAUCCCCGACCUCGGCUAGAGGAAGACCUCGUCUGGACUCUUACUGGGGUUGGACUUCAGGCUCCUCUCAAGUGGAUAACUAACCACCAGACGCUCCAGCCGAACUUCAGCCGACGGGUCUGCACUCCCUGGUGCGACACAGCAACAGCCACGAUCCUGCUCCACUCCCUACGGUGGACCCCACAUAGCUCCAUUACCCCCUGACAGACCGUAUUAACGGCCACGAUUCUAUUUCCAUUCCCUAUGGCGGAUUCCGUGCGAUUCCACCACUCCCUGACAAGCCAUGACAGCGGACGUCUCUCCACUCCACGUAACUGA